GGAAGGAUCAUUCGCACUAUCCAUUUCCAUAUUGUGAACCUAAGCUGAGAGCGACUGCUUGUGUGCUCAGCCGCAAGUGGAAGCUCGGGGGCGACUGGGCGUAGACGGCUCUGCAUUCAAUUGUAUGUUCCGGAUAUGGCUCAUCGUCACUGGUCCUCUUUGGGACCUCCCGCAACAUUGCAAAUGCUUGUGGAAGCUAUUGCUUAAGUGACCGAGUGUACACAAUUUUCAGCGACGGAUAUCUUGGCUCGAGCACCUAUGAAGGGCGCAGCGAAGUGCGAUAAUCGUUGUGAAUUGCAGAACUCCGUGAACCAAUGGCCUCUUGAACGUGCAUUGCGCUCUUGGGAUAUGCCUGAGAGCAUGUCUGCUUCAGUGCUUCUUAUAUCAUUUUUUUUGCUGCUGCUCUUUUUUCAAAGGGCAGCGUGGGUGCAUGCUACUGCUUGGCAGCACUGGCAUGCUUAGAUUUGCUGCUUGCUCACUGGUUUGAUUGAUCACUUUUAUCAAACUUUG
rnacentral:rRNA from 1 species